UACGGGGGGGGCAAGCGUUGUUCGGAAUUACUGGGCGUAAAGGGCUCGUAGGCGGCCAACUGAGUCAGACGUGAAAUCCCUCGGCUUAACCGGGGAACUGCAUCUGAUACUGGAUGGCUUGAGUUCGGGAGAGGGAUGCGGAAUUCCAGGUGUAGCGGUGAAAUGCGUAGAUAUCUGGAGGAACACCGGUGGCGAAGGCGGCAUCCUGGACCGACACUGACGCUGAGGAGCGAAAGCCAGGGGAGCAAACGGG
rnacentral:rRNA from 1 species